rnacentral:tRNA from 1 species
UUUCCUAUAGUUUAAUGGUAAAACAUGCAUCUGAUAAGUGCGCGAUGGUAGUUCGAUUCCACCUAGGGAUA